GACGAACGCUGGCGGCGUGCUUAACACAUGCAAGUCGAACGAUGAAGCCGGAGCUUGCUCUGGUGAAUUAGUGGCGAACGGGUGAGUAACACGUGAGUAACCUGCCCUUGACUCUGGGAUAACUGCGGGAAACUGUAGCUAAUACCGGAUACGACCCUCGGAGGCAUCUCCUGGGGGUGUAAAGAAUUUCGGUCAAGGAUGGACUCCCGGCCUAUCAGCUAGUUGGUGAGGUAACGGCUCACCAAGGCGACGAGGGGUAGCAGGCCUGAGAGGGUGACCGGCCCCACUGGGACUGAGACACGGCCCAGACUCCUACGGGAGGCAGCAGUGGGGAAUAUUGCACAAUGGGCGCAAGCAUGAUGCAGCAACGCCGCGUGAGGGAUGACGGCCUUCGGGUUGUAAACCUCUUUUAGCUGGGAAGAAGCGAAAGUGACGGUACCUGCAGAAAAAGCACCGGCUAACUACGUGCCAGCAGCCGCCGUAA
rnacentral:rRNA from 1 species